UUUCGACCUGAGGUCAGGCAAGAACACCCGCUGAACUUAAGCAUAUCAAUAAGCGGAGGAAAAGAAACUAACUAGG
rnacentral:rRNA from 1 species